CUCGGGGGAGGGGGGUGUUGUCCCUCAGCCCGGAUUGCGAGAGGGUGCAGGCCAGGCUGAGGGACCCCACUGGUGCACG
rfam:Myotis lucifugus cont2.50876, whole genome shotgun sequence.